GGCCCGGUAGCUCAGUUGGUUAGAGCAGGGGACUCAUAAUCCCUUGGUCGGGGGUUCGAGUCCCUCCCGGGCUAC
rnacentral:tRNA from 1 species